GAUGAACGCUGGCGGCGUGCCUAAUACAUGCAAGUCGAACGAACAGACGCGGAGCUUGCGCCGUUGACGUUAGCGGCGGACGGGUGAGUAACACGUGGAUAACCUACCUGUCAGACUGGUAUCACUUCGGGAAACCGGCGCUAAUACCGGAUAAUAUAUUGAACCGCAUGGUUCAAUAGUGAAAGUCGGUUUUGCUGUCACUUAUAGAUGGAUCCGCGCCGCAUUAGCUAGUUGGUACGGUAACGGCUUAUCAAGGCGACGAUGCGUAGCCGAGGUGAGAGGGUGAUCGGCCACACUGGAACUGAGACACGGUCCAGACUCCUACGAGAGGCAGCAGUAGGGAAUCUUACGCAAAGGGCGAAAGCCUGACGGAGCAACGCCGCGUGAGUGAUGAAGGUCUUCGGAUCGUAAAAAUCUGUUAUUAGGGAAGAACAAAUGUCUAAGUAGCUAUGCACGUCUUGACGGUACCGAAUCAGAAAGCAACGGCUAACUACGUG
rnacentral:rRNA from 1 species